rnacentral:rRNA from 1 species
AUGGUGCGAGGCCUGCCAUGCCUCGACCAUGUGGAGCAGUUCUGCGACAUCUGCGUACUGACAAAGCAGAGACGACUCCCCUUUCCCCAACAGGCGAGUUUUCGGGCUAAGGAGAAGCUGGAGCUCGUGCACGGAGACCUGUGCGGCCCGGUGACGCCAGCCACACCAGGAGGUCGACGCUACUUCCUGCUGCUCGUCGACGAUCUCUCCCGCUACAUGUGGGUGAUGAUCCUCAGCAGUAAGGGAGAAGCGGCGGACGCCAUCAGGCGCGCGCAGGUUGGUGUGGAGGCGGAGAGCGGCCGCAAAUUGCGCGUGUUGCGCACUGACAACGGCGGCGAGUUCACGGCGGCUGAAUUCGCGUCGUACUGCGCCGAUGAGGGCAUCCAGCGCCACUACUCCGCGCCGUACAGCCCGCAGCAAAACGGCAGAGGGAUGCCGGCUGUCUUCUGGGGAGAGGCGGUGCUAACGGCCGUCUACAUCCUCAACCGCUCUCCUACUAAGGCACUCGACGGCAGAACUCCGUACGAGGCCUGGCAUGGGCGGAAGCCGGCGGUCUCUCAUUUGCGGGUCUUUGGCUGCCUUGCGUUCGCCAAGGAGCUCGGCCACAUCGGCAAGCUCGACGACAGGAGCACUCCGGGAGUCUUCAUCGGCUACGCGGAGGGCUCAAAGGCCUACCGCAUCCUCGACCCAAAGACACAACGUGUGCGCACAGCGCGAGACGUCGUGUUCAAGGAAGGGCGAGGGUGGUAA